CUUGUUAGCCUGAAUUUAUAGGAGAUGCAGAUGAAAUCCAUUCCAGAACUCCAAGGAAAAUUAGCCUUUCUCUGACACACCCCUCAAAAUCCUUCCAGACUUGACCCACUAUUCACCACAGCAGCACAUCACCUCCAGUUUUGUGUUAGGAUUCUGAAAACCUGAAAUGUUGAUUGUGGCGAAAUAAUCAAAUGUAUCUACAUAGCAUGCCUUCCCUGGACAUGUUUACUCUGAGUGAAGAAAAGUUUCAAACAUCAGGAAAAAAAAAACAGCGCAUUGCAAAACAUAUUAGACUGAACCUAUCGAUGACAAAAUACAACUGUGAAAUGUUGAGACUGUUCAGCAAAGCUGGACAUAAGCAGGAUCCAUUCCAUUUUCAAAGAGAAAAUCAUGCCAAUAACUCUCUACAAAGGAAACGAUUUCAAAUGAAUACAGGUAAUUAGAAGUGUCAAGAAAUCAGCAAAGUAG
rnacentral:lncRNA from 1 species